CAACAGGAUUUAGAUACCCUGGUAGUCCACGCCGUAAACGAUGUCGACUUGGAGGUUGUGCCCUUGAGGCGUGGCUUCCGGAGCUAACGCGUUAAGUCGACCGCCUGGGGAGUACGGCCGCAAGGUUAAAACUCAAAUGAAUUGACGGGGGCCCGCACAAGCGGUGGAGCAUGUGGUUUAAUUCGAUGCAACGCGAAGAACCUUACCUACUCUUGACAUCCAGAGAACUUAGCAGAGAUGGAUUGGUGCCUUCGGGAACUCUGAGACAGGUGCUGCAUGGCUGUCGUCAGCUCGUGUUGUGAAAUGUUGGGUUAAGUCCCGCAACGAGCGCAACCCUUAUCCUUUGUUGCCAGCGGUCCGGCCGGGAACUCAAAGGAGACUGCCAGUGAUAAACUGGAGGAAGGUGGGGAUGACGUCAAGUCAUCAUGGCCCUUACGAGUAGGGCUACACACGUGCUACAAUGGCGCAUACAAAGAGAAGCGACCUCGCGAGAGCAAGCGGACCUCAUAAAGUGCGUCGUAGUCCGGAUUGGAGUCUGCAACUCGACUCCAUGAAGUCGGAAUCGCUAGUAAUCGUAGAUCAGAAUGCUACGGUGAAUACGUUCCCGGGCCUUGUACACACCGCCCGUCACACCAUGGGAGUGGGUUGCAAAAGAAGUAGGUAGCUUAACCUUCGGAGGGCGCUACC
rnacentral:rRNA from 1 species